AUGAUGGACUAUAGGACAGGACUGCUGCUGUUAACCGUCCUCUGGGCAGGUGUUGAUGGUCAGACUCUGACUGAAUCUGAACCUGCAGUAAAAAGACCUGGACAAUCCCACAGACUGACCUGUACAACAUCUGGAUUCACAUUCAGCAGCUACCACAUGGACUGGAUCAGACAGGCUCCUGGAAAAGGACUGGAGUGGAUCGCUUUUAUACACACGGGCAGCUCUCAUAUCUAUUACUCCUCAUCAGUCCAGGGUAGAUUCACCAUCUCCAGAGACGACUCCAGCAGUAAACUUUAUCUGCAGAUGAACAGUCUGAAGCCAGAGGACACAGCAGUGUAUUACUGUGCUCGACACCACACAAUGACAGACAAUAACAGGGAAGUCAUACAAAAACUACUUCCUUAUUCCAAACCAGCUCUGGAACUUUCAUUUACAAUACUGAUCAUAAUGGUCAUUGGUUAUUGAU